rnacentral:lncRNA from 1 species
CUGGGUUUAUAAUACUUUUCACACAAACAAUGCAGAGAAAACAAAACACUUAAUCCUCCAGUCCCCUUGAUAAGUACAGGAAUACAACAACUGGCCUCCAGGGGCUGGCAUCGAGUGAACAGGCAGGAACAGUUACUGACCGGAGGAGGACGAGGAGGUGAAGGCAAGGUGCAGUUUCACUCAGGCCUGACGGUGGUGGCACCACAGAUGCUGGUUCCUUGCUGGUUCAAUUCUGUUCUCUCGGGAAAAAACCAUGCAGUGAUGUCUGGGUAUAGUUUCUCCUUACCACAGAUGAUACAGGGUAACACUGGACGGCACUCUGACUAGCCGCUGCAACCUUUGUGUUCCUGUCCUACGUUCCCAUCCUGUGCCUCCUUGAAGAAAUCCCCUUUUCACUUCCUGCGUACGGAAGCUCUUCAGUUGCUCUUCAUCCUUCCCUGGCCUUCAAUUCCAUCUCUUGCUCCACACUCCGUUAUCUUCACUCUUGUUUCCACCGCUAGCACGUGGCGCUUCAGAGAAGUGCCAGCUACUUGCUUCCACGCACCCUGGACUUGAGAUGCACUAUGACUAUCCUCUCUACUGUAAAGUACACAGACGCACAGCCACGUGGAGAAGAUGCACGCACGUGACGGUUUACUGCAGACACGUGACCUUACCUGAUGGGACAUCCCAACUGGCAGAAGUUCGAGUAUAGGGGACUUAAACUGUAUGUGAAAUGACAGCCGCCUCCCAUAUACAAACCCAAAAUUCUAGUCCCUUUCCUACAGUCAGAUUUAUGCGAGUCUCACCUAUUGGUAAGAAAAGAAGGGAUUGGGUAGACGAUAGUAAAAUGAGUAAGAGGAGGACACUUACCAAUGCAGCCUUGUUGCGUGCUUAGUCACUCAGUCGGGUCUGACUCUGCAACCCUCUGGACUGCAGCCUGCCAGGCUCCUCACGGAUAGAGAUUCUCCAGGCAAGAAUACUGAAGUGGGUUGCCAUUUCCUCCUCCAGGGGUCUUCCUGACCCAGGGAUCCAACCCACAUCUCUCAUGUCUCCUGCACUGACAGGUGGGUUCUUUAUAAGUGCUACCCAGGAAAUUUGGACACAGAAUUGAGACGUGUUUAAGAAACUCCUGGGACCAAGGUGGGGCUCUGGCAGAGGCAAAGUCUUGUUGAUUGUCCAAAGGCCCUUUUUUCUGCCACAAAAAACGAGUGUUUCCUCGCAACUGCAGGGGAAAGAGAAAGAUAAAUAGAAAUUAAGCACCCACUGUGAGGCCACCGACCCUCUAGUGCAGGGUCUUGCUGUGGAGAGGGUCAGUGAGUGUAUUCUGUGUUUACACAGACGAGCACAUGGACAACUCUGAAGGGGAGCAGCCAGGGGGUUCUCAGCCGGGACUUCUAUCCACCGGUGCCUCCAAACAGCCCUGAGGCUCAGAGAAAGGAUUGUACGCGGUUAUGAGAUCAGCUCCUCUUAAACACCUUCUUUCUGUUUCAGGCUUGAAAAACACCUCGCCCAGUUUUGAGCCCUUCAAGACUUUGCCACAGCCUCUAUCACACAUCUGUUUUUCUCGAAGAAAAAAAUAUAUAAUAAAAAAUGUUUUACUCUUUUACACUGUAUAAUUGUAAGAAAUAGUGUGUUAUUUGUGAACGCAUGGUCUGCCAUUUCUGUACAGUUUGGAGAUAUUUUCAAAUGAAACAUAAAAGAUGUCAACGAUAAAACCAAGAGAGUGAGUAUUUUUAUACCAAACAUUUUAAGUGUGACAGGAUGGAUGAUCUUACACUGGGUUGGAUCACACAUUUUGUGCUCGACUUUUGAAUGCUUGUAAUUUAAAAUAUAUAUAUAUAUUUUUCCUCUAAAAUAAGCUGCAUGUUUGAGGCAUGGUUUAAAAUAUUAUCAGAAUUUCCAGGAUCAUAUGGUGAAUGUAUAGAAAUCUGUUUACCUGGCCUGGGCCCAUGAGUAACGCGGUGACAGGUUAGAACUGCUGGUGCGGUACUUGAGGUUUGCUUCCAAGUCUGCUAGGACGUCCUGCAAGACAAUCAGAGCCUCCGGGAGCUUCCAGUGUGAUGGCGGAUUCCCGGCUGGGCAAAGCAGCCUGUGCUUGGUGCAGAUUCCUCAUUGAGGUGCACCUGUAACAUGCCCGCAGCUCCAGAGGUGACUAUACAAACUGUCAAGUUCUGGGUCUUGCCUUUUUCUUCUAACAGCAGGCUCCUGCGUGAGCCCCGCUGAUGCACAACACCCUCAGUGGACGUGCUGAGUCUAAAGGGGAAGCCUCCGCUUGGGAGCCCAGCCCUGCCAACGUGGCCGCAGCGCGCCCAGCGAUUUGCAGAACAUCAGUUGAACUGAGCUGGUGUUCCUGAGUCUUGGCGGCACCAGGCCAGACGAACCAUUUAAAAACCUGACCUUGAAUCCCGCUGUAUUCGCUGGGACAGUGACACAUUGGCCUGGGGGAAGAUGCGUGAGCAAUGAGGAGAGGUCAGCUUGCUUCAAGACUCCCUCCACACCCAGGUCAGUCCUGUGUGGGAAACUGACACUUCCAGGGUCACCUCAUACUCUCCCCACUGUGGAAGAGCAGCUGUGUGUAAACAUACAUUGACCUACAAAUUUUUAACUGCUGACAUAUUAAACAUGACCACAAGCUCUCUUAUUGAUCUGCUCACAGUGCGCUGAAGAUUUUGAUGUUCUAAUGAUUAUAUGGCUGGUGUUCGGUUUUUAGUUUCAUUAUUUUCUAUUAGAAAUCAAGGUGUCAAGACGCUUUUAAAGGUCAUCACAAAACAAACGAGAGCCAAGGGUGAGAGGCUCUUACACUUAGGAGAAAUGCUUGAGGGGUGUCCCCGGUGUACCCAAGCGCUACUGAGGCCUCCAGCACCACCUGGUUCGUGGUGACAGUUCUAGACUCUUGCUUUUAUCAACUGUUUAAAGGUACUUUUCUAUUGUCAUUUUUAAAAAUAAAGUGCUAAUUCCAGCUGUCACACCACUGCUUGGCAAAUUCCUUCUUGCAAGACCAACCAAGUACACCUGAUACUGCAAUCCAGGAAGUGGCAGAUUUUGUUCCCAUUUUCAGGUCUGGAUGGAGCAACCAAGGGAGGGAUGGGAGAGCCUAUGCAAAUGCUCUACUGUGGGUGCCUGGUGCUCCGCAGGGACCCCACAGGCGGUUCACGGGGGAGACACAUACCUCUCUCUCGAUGUCUUUUCACUGCACUCAGCAGACUGCACAUCCACCUCAGCCUAUGAAGACUCUGCAACCUACAUUCGUGGUUUUCUACUAACUUAUUAGAGUAAGAAAUACAUUCUAUUAAGUGGUAAGACAGGCAUUGAUAGCCAAGCAAUAGAAAUGCUCUACCUAUGUAACACUCUCACCAAGUCCUCUGUCCCCAGAAGGGGGUGGGAGGUCACAGCGCUCAAUUCCAAGUGAGGGCAACAACCACUAACAGCUACUCGUCUUGCUGGGCACGGACAUUCUGGGUUCUGUUGGAUCACACAUACCUUCUGCAGAGGAGACCAGCCACCCAAAGUGGGUCCCAGCCACAGCCUGCCAGAACCCUGGAGCCAGGGCUGAAGGCAGACAAUGACUGCACAGCUCUGCCGCCCUGCCCAGGCUCUGAAGCCCACAGCCAUCAAGGCUCAGGGGUCGUAGCUCUGGGACAGGCUCGAUCACGCGGCUUCACCUUCAGCCCAUCUGGGACUUUCCCACUCACUCCAAGGCACCAGGUUCAAGCCAGGAGGCACAGAUCUGAGGGUGCCUCCUUGGAGGGGCUGAACACCAUCACUGCUGUGUGCUUUUUCAUAAAAUGAGGGCCUGGUCACCAUCACUGUGCAAGGGACAAAUGUGUAGAGAGUACCUGCCCGUCUAGUGUGAACUCCAGGCACAACCCACUGUCUGGUCGCUUGAACACCAGCUUCAUUUCCUGUCACUCCACUGAGCAGAAACACAGUAUAUCUUCUGGAACUGGGAACUUGGGAUAAGAAAAGGGCAGGUCUGUCUGUUCCCUCUGCUUACACACUUAAUGUCCCAGUUUGUAGGAUCCAGAAAAACAAUAACUAGGCCAUUUUUUGUUAUUGAGUAAAUCCUACCUUGGGGGUAAAGAUCUGCCACUUCUGAACACAGGACUAAUGCAGCUAUAAUAUAAAACCACCAUUUAGUACUGAAAUUAAGAACUGUGCCUUCUAACAAAAUUACAAAGUAAAGGAAUCUGGAAAAGAACCUUAAAACUUGCAAAAUGUGCAUUAUACUUACAGUGUAAUCAUAUGUGUGCGCUUUAAAUUCACUGGACCCACCACCUGAAUAUAUGUCGCUGACCCACUUUCACCGAGAAAGCAUGGCGGACGCCCCAACAAUUCUUGGGGUCUGUGUCACAAUGACAUAUAGGAAUCAACUGAUUCUCAAGUGUUUCAGGUAGGAGUGCUUAGCUCUAGGAGUGCGAGCUGAUUCCCUACUGUCUCCCCAUCCAUCACUGGGACGUCCAACUGUUAGGGGACAAGCGUGUUCGAGUAUCAGCACAGGGUCGCUCUCUUGCUCUUCAACUGGUCCCCCUGUUCUGUCACACCUGAUGACAUCAAACAAUUGUCCAACAUUCUGAGAAGGCAGAAGAGUAUCUGCUACUAAUGACAUUAUCUGUAACACUGGUCUUCACAAUGCCUACACCACAACUCAUGACUUGGAUACUGAAAAAACCACAUGCCGUCAACCAACAGAUAAGCCUCUCUAAGCAGGGAAACAUUUACCUGCCACAGUGAAGCUCCGUCACCACUGCAAACCGUCCUGGGUGGCACUCAACUCCCCAAGACUGGCCUGGCUCUGUAUGACCCCAAGCCCCAGAUGCCAAUAUGCUGUGAGAAACCUUGGCUGGUUUCCUCCUUUUUGCAGCUCUCCAGCGACCCACGGGUGCUGAUUCACCCGGACUUCCAUGGUACAAACCACACUUUCCUGCUUUGUGAGUGGAAAAGGGCCCUGGGCCCAUGAACCAUUACAACAGGCCCAUAAAUCAAGACCACAGGGAAGCCUGUUCCCCACUGCUCACAUAUACUGCUCAUUUCAAGUUUAACUCUCUUGCCAUGCUAAUUAACAAUAAACAGAAAUUUAAUCAUGUUAGAUGCUUAAAUUCAACCCAAACUUGUCUUUGGAGUUAAAAGACACACCUACAUGGAAUAGGAAAUAAUGCUCAGGUUAAAAUAUUAGUAUUUACCUGGACAAAAGAGUACUUUUUCCUUAAAACUAGGAUGCAGAAAAGUUCAAAGCUUCUUGACACUCCCAUGCAAGAUAAAACCUGGUCUUGGAGUUUCUGGAGAUGGGCCUGCCAAGGUCAGGCUGUGAUUUACUCCAUAAGGUAAGUUGGCCCUGAAGGUCUUUGGAGCCCUGCACAGUUCUGGGUGGUGGCAAGUCAGUGUGUUCUCACAGGGUCUUGAACCCACAUGGUUUGAGUCACAGGAACAUGCUGGCCCAUCUCCAAACGAGGAGAGCUAGGUGAGUGUCCCAGGCCUGUUUCCAAAGGUCCAUGGUAGCAGCCUUGCCACUUGGCCUGCAAGCACCAGCAGGUCUUUCCAGUGGAAGCCCCACUAAGAAGGGAAAUGUGCUUUUGUUUCUUGAGCUAUGGCCAGAAGGAAGGGCAACAGCAUGAUGUCAGGGCCUAUUCCAGCUCUGCGCUUCCCAAGUGCUCACUCAACACCAUGCUCACAGGGCAGGGACGGGGGUUCCAAGGUCCAGCUCACCUAAGAAGUGGUUUCCAAGAGGUCCUUUGAUUCCAAGAGGUUCUCCCCCACAGAACACCCAUUCUCUCGGGAAAAGCCCACAAAACACGCCCGGGGAAAGGGUGGACUGUUCUGCAUGAAGCCCCAAGGGUGGCAUCACGUGAUGAAGGUCAUCACGCUGUCUCCACACACAGCACCCCAGCCUUGCCACACGGCAGCAGUAUGGACCUGGCUUGUUAAGGACAGUCAUGAACACCUUAAACAAAAAUCACCCGCCAAUGAAUCAUUUUUGCAAGUAAAAGCAGCAGCUAGAAGGAAGAGGGGACAUCAAAUCUCAUUUCCCAUGCUUCAGAAAACCAUUGUUAGCUGCUAAGAACUGGGGAGUUUAUAAAUCCAAAUACCCUAUCCCCACACCCAAAAUGUAUUUUCUGCUGGUGACUUCAAACACCCCAUCACAGAAGAACCCAGGGCUGUAUGUCUGCGGUGCCCUUGCUACAAACCAUGGACCGAGCAGGAACGGGAAGCAGCUGCCCUGCCUUCUCGCUCAGGCACGGCUUCACACGUAUCAAGUGCUCCUCUGUCCCUCGAGUCCCACCAUCAUCUGACCACACUUACAGGAUGUGACAGCAGCGGCCAAGUAUUCAUAUUUUACACUUUGGGCUCAGAGACAUUCCUUUUAGCCAUCCCCUUAAAAGCCUCAGCUGACUGUGAUGAAUUAUAGAUCAAACACACUGAAGAUGGUCUUAAACUCUUAAUGCACCCAGACAAGCCCAUUCCAACCUGCUUCUUCUAAACUGCCCACAGACCCAGCAGAAACAGGCAGAGGUGAGACCAUGACUUUGACUUUAAUUUGAAUUUCUCGUGGAAAUGUUCCUAGGUGCCCAGAAUAACUGGUAAAGAACUUCUUUCUAUUACAACCUUCAAACACAACUGGGUUCCUAUCAAAAUUAGCCACAAAGACUAUCUCCCUUUCCACAUAUCAAAACAGCCAGAAAACAACAAAAUGGAAACAGUACCAUGUCCUCCCCUAUCAAUAAUUACCUUAAAUGUAAAUGGAUUAAAUUCUCCAAUAAAAAUACAUAGACUUGUUGAAUGGAUUAAAAAAAAAAACAAGAUCCUGCAUGCCACAACUAAGAUCCAGUGAAAAGUAUUAAAAAAAAAAAAAGAAAAGAUAACCUAUGGAAUCAAAAUGUUUGCAAACCAUUUAUCUUACAAUAAGAAGGGGGGUAAUAUGACCAUAAUACAUAAAGAACUCAUAAAACUCAGUAGCAAAAGACAACUCCACAAAUAAUCCAAUUAAAGGAUAGGCAAGGACCCAAACAGACCUGAAUAGACAUUCAUCCAAAUAAAAUACACACAUGACCAACAGGUACCUGAGAAGAUGCUCAACACCAUUCAUCAGUGAGGCAUCUCACUUUUACAUCUUCUCAUGAUGUAUUUUGGGGCUUGGGUAUAAGAAACAGGGAAGAUGACACUCAAAAUCAAUCAGAUAAAUACAAAGGAUAAAAAUUAAAACAACAAAAUGGCUCCUUG